rnacentral:rRNA from 1 species
GUGCCUAACACAUGCAAGUCGAACGAGAAAGUGGAGCAAUCCAUGAGUAAAGUGGCGACCGGGUGAGUAACACGUGACUAACCUACCCUUGAGUGGGGGAUAACCUCGGGAAACCGGGGCUAAUACCGCAUAACAUCGCAAGAUCAAAGGAGCAAUCCGCUGAAGGAGGGGGUCGCGGCUGAUUAGCUAGUUGGUGAGGUAACGGCUCACCAAGGCGAAGAUCAGUAGCCGGCCUGAGAGGGCGCACGGCCACACUGGAACUGAAACACGGUCCAG